CAAGUGAAAUUGGAAGUGUAGUUGAAAUUGGGUCCAAAGGCCCAAUCCUAAGACAACAAAAUCCCAUUUUCAUCUCUCUCUUUCUCUCUCCGUCGCUCCUCUCUCUCUCUCUCUCUCUCUCUCUCUACGAUCUCCCCGCGACCGCCGGCUCAGGUCUCAGUCUCAGUUCAACGCCGGCUCUUUCAUCUCCAAGGUCCUCCUUUUCCUUGUCUUCUGGUGUUUUUUCUAUGUCCCUUUUCGUGGCUUCAUUUCCCGCGGACGUGUUGGAAAAAGCUCUGCUUUACUGGAGAAUUUGGACUCAUGGAACGCCAACUUAUCUCCCAAGUCAGCGUGCAAUGGCGUUGUGGAAUCAGUUUUGAAUGUGCCCGUGCGUUUUGGGAUGAUUUCCGCUGCCGUAAACAAUGGGCAAAUUCCCUUCUUCUGUUUUUCUCGCCCUCGAGGUGCUUGCGAUAAUGUCUGUGGUAGUAGAAGUAGCGUUUCAGCUCAAUGCCGUGCUUUAGUAUGCACGCGGUGUUGUCUGUCCUCGCUCUAUCGCUCCCGUUUGGCUCCGUAUGGCGUGUGCCCAGAAAUUGUCGUUACGCCCUGACCAAAACAUGCCCCUUCCGUUUGGGAAAAAAAACAAAAACAAGAAUUCUGUGAACUCGUUUUAUGGGUGAAAUGUAUAUGAUAUUUGAUAUUGGAGUGGGACAAAGAGAGAGGACUACCUGUUUUAAAUAGCUUUGGUUUGCUUCCUGUCUUAUUUAUUUUUGAGUGUUGGGCAUGGGCGGUGUGGGGCUGGGUAUUGUAUUCUCCAUCCCCAUCAUGUGGCGCGGAGCUUUGCCCCGCCCACCGCCCCGUGUGCCCCACGGGGCACGUCCUCGCGGGGGAUGAUUAGCUGUUGUCUCUUUUUCUUCCUUGAAAAUUCCAUGUUUUGCGUUGUCUCGUAGUUUACCUUAUCUACUUGUGGCAAUAUGAAAAAGAAAUUGGUGGUGGAUCAAAAGUUCCUUUUCCAUGUCAGCAGCAUGUGAAUCUCUACUGGUACUUAUUACUGCUGCUAUUGAUCACUGUCCAGGAUAAUGUCGGCUCAAAGACUAGCCAAUUAUUUCAGAGAUGGAAUCACUUCAAGCUCUUUAUCUAAUGAAGUAAUUGCAGGGAAGAUUGCCAAGGUACUUGCUGAGAAAGGGGUUAAAACUCUGGAAGGGCAAUCCGAGUUGCUCUUAAAUCUCAGCCCCCACGUAGCCCAUAUUAUUCUCUCAAACCCAAGAUUGCCACCUCAUUCUUGCUUGAGCUUUUUCAGAUUCUUGAAAGGGAGCCCGUCUCUUUUUUCUCAUAGACCUGACCUUCGAGCUCAUAUUAUAUUAGCUCGAAGAUUAUACGAAGCUCGAAAGUUUGCUGAAAUGAAGAAUGUGUUGCACUCUGCCGUGAGGGAUGGUAGUGGUUUUGUCUCAAUAUUGGAUAUUGUUAACAUGCAUCAAGAUCAACUUGAUGAGCCUAGAUUUGUUGUGAAGUUUUGCGACAUGUUGUUGAGGGUUUAUGCUGAUAAUAAGAUGUUUGGGGAGGCUGUGGAAGUCUUUCACUACAUGCAAAGCAGAGGUUUGGAGAUUGAUGAGAGGUCUUGCAUGGUCUUUCUGUUAGCUUUGAAGAGAUUUAGUACUCUAGAGAAUUGCUUAGGGUUCUUCAGGCGGAUGAUUAAGUCAGAUCUGGUAACAGUUUAUUCGCUGACUGUCAUGGUCGAUCUGUUGUGCAAGAAAGAUAUGGUUGACGAUUCGAGGAAACUCGUAGACGAGUUGGUUUCUAAGGGGAUAAAGCCGAAUGUUUUCACUUACAAUACAUGGAUGAAUUCAUACGUAAAAAGAAAGGACGAUGAGGCUAUUGAUGAAAUAUUGAGACUGAUGGAGGAAGAGCGGGUGGAAUACAAUGUGGUUACCUACACGCUUUUGAUUGACUGGUAUGCAAGCUCCGAGAAAAUUACGGAUGCUGAGACAAUGUUUGAAGAAAUGCAUAAGAAAGGCAUCCAAGGGGAUCUUUUUGUUUACAAUUCAAUAAUCAAUCUGAAUUGUAAGGUGGGAAAUAUGAAAAGGGCAUUUGCACUUUUUGAUGAAAUGACUGAGAAGGGCCUUCUUCCGAGCGUUCAAACUUAUGGGGCUUUGAUCAAUGGUGUCUGCAAGGUUGGCCAGAUGGAGGCAGCUGAUAUGUUGGUCACUGAGAUGCAGAGAAGUGGAAUUGAAUUGAAUCUGGUGAUAUAUAACACACUAAUAGAUGGGUAUUGCAGAAAUGAAAUGAUUGAUGAAGCUCAUGAGGUCCUGGUGAUCAUGAAGAGUAAAGGGAUUGAGGCUGAUGAAUUUACUUACAACACAAUUGCUAGCGGACUGUGUAAGUUGAAUAGGCUCGAGGAAGCAAAACGGGUCUUGUUUGCAAUGGAAGAGUACGGUUUGAUGCCUAACUUGGUUAAUUUCACUACUUUAAUUGACAUAUACUGUAAGGAAGGAAACUUAGUGGAAGCUAGAAGAAUCUUUCAAGAGAUGAAGGAGAAGGGACAUACACCAAAUAUUGUUGCUUACAAUGCUUUAAUCGAUGGACAUAUCAAGAAAGGAAAACUUGCUGAACCUAAAAUGCUGAGAGAUGAGUUGAUGAAUCAGGGUAUGAAGCCAGACAAGUAUACCUAUACAUCCCUUAUACAUGGGGAAUGUAUCUAUGGGAAGCUAGAAGAGGCACUCAGAUUGUUCCGUGAAAUGUCUGAAAGGCGCUUGCCUAAAAGUCUUGUCACUUACACAGCAAUAAUCUCAGGCCUAGCCAAGGCCGGGAGAUCAGAUGAAGCUUUUGCGUUGUAUGACGAGAUGAUUGAAGCUGGACUUAAACCUGACGACUCAUUGUACUCUUUGCUAGUGGGGAGUCUUCAUUAAGCUAGGUUGUAGCUGUACUAUUUGGCCUAAAUACUACGUCAAUUAAAUUUUGACGAUCGUGCUCAAGGUGCUAGAUGAUCCCCUAUAUCUCCACUCAGGAACUUGCUCUGUCAUUACUUAUCCAAAUGCUCUUCAAAUCAGCUCUGCGGGUGUCUCUGCCAAGAGGAAUUGAUGUUUCAAUUACCUUCUUUCUUGCCUGCCCUUUGUAAAGCAUUUGGAACCAGAAUGUAGAUGUUGACAAGAACGGAUAGUUUGUUUACCAUCUGGUGGGUAUCUAUAUCAUGCUUGGCAAAGCAUUCCCGCCAUAGUCGGAAGGGCUCAACUCCAUGCAGUCGCAGUGGGUGACCACCUACGCCAACCGCAUCUCUCGGGCCCGGACACGGACCGCCACUGCAAUGGACAGUAACCAUCGGC